rnacentral:rRNA from 1 species
CGUCAAAUCAUCAUGCCCCUUAUGGCCUGGGCUACACACGUGCUACAAUGGUCGGUACAAAGGGAAGCGAAGCGGCGACGUGGAGCGAACCCCAUAAAGCCGAUCCCAGUUCGGAUUGCAGGCUGCAACUCGCCUGCAUGAAGUUGGAAUCGCUAGUAAUCGCGGAUCAGCAUGCCGCGGUGAAUACGUUCCCGGGUCUU